rnacentral:tRNA from 3 species
GCGUGAAUGGGGUAGUGGUAACCUUAAUCGUUGCCAUCGAUUAGCCAGGGGUUCGAUUCCCCUUUCACGCA